CACGUAGGGGGCGAGCGUUGUCCGGAAUUAUUGGGCGUAAAGAGCUCGUAGGCGGUCUGUCGCGUCGAUCGUGAAAACUUGGGGCUUAACCCUGAGCUUGCGGUCGAUACGGGCAUGACUGGAGUUCGGCAGGGGAGACUGGAAUUCCUGGUGUAGCGGUGAAAUGCGCAGAUAUCAGGAGGAACACCGGUGGCGAAGGCGGGUCUCUGGGCCGAUACUGACGCUGAGGAGCGAAAGCAUGGGUAGCGAACAGG
rnacentral:rRNA from 1 species